rnacentral:rRNA from 1 species
GAUGAACGCUGGCGGCGUGCUUAACACAUGCAAGUCGAACGAAGCACUCUAUUUGAUUUUCUUCGGAAAUGAAGAUUUUGUGACUGAGUGGCGGACGGGUGAGUAACGCGUGGGUAACCUGCCUUAUACAGAGGGAUAACAGUUGGAAACGACUGCUAAUACCGCAUAAGCGCACAGGAUCGCAUGAUCCGGUGUGAAAAACUCCGGUGGUAUGAGAUGGACCCGCGUCUGAUUAGCCAGUUGGCAGGGUAACGGCCUACCAAAGCGACGAUCAGUAGCCGACCUGAGAGGGUGACCGGCCACAUUGGGACUGAGACACGGCCCAAACUCCUACGGGAGGCAGCAGUGGGGAAUAUUGCACAAUGGGGGAAACCCUGAUGCAGCGACGCCGCGUGAGCGAAGAAGUAUUUCGGUAUGUAAAGCUCUAUCAGCAGGGAAGAAGAAUGACG